rnacentral:rRNA from 1 species
GCAGUAGGGAAUCUUCCGCAAUGGGCGAAAGCCUGACGGAGCAACGCCGCGUGAGUGAUGAAGGUCUUCGGAUCGUAAAACUCUGUUAUUAGGGAAGAACAUAUGUGUAAGUAACUGUGCACAUCUUGACGGUACCUAAUCAGAAAGCCACGGCUAACUACGUGCCAGCAGCCGCGGUAAUACGUAGGUGGCAAGCGUUAUCCGGAAUUAUUGGGCGUAAAGCGCGCGUAGGCGGUUUUUUAAGUCUGAUGUGAAAGCCCACGGCUCAACCGUGGAGGGUCAUUGGAAACUGGAAAACUUGAGUGCAGAAGAGG